rnacentral:lncRNA from 1 species
AGUUGUGCCCACGCACCCAACUGUUCCAGUAACAUAAAAGCAACAGCAGUUGGAGAUACUUAAGGCAGCCAUGGUAUUGACAGAAAAAGACUCUGGAUUUGGAUUGCAGCUGUAGCAUUUAUUAAAUGCACGUCACAACCUCUCUGAGCUUCGUUUUCCCCACGUUUCAAAUGGGAUGCAGUGGACCCUGUUGCCUACCCGAGAACAACUUCAAAGCAACUUUGAGAGCCUUGUAUGGAAGAUGGCAACUUUGAGAGCCUUGUGUUGAAGAUGGCAAAGCCACAAGAUGGAAAGUGCUUGGGUUCUUGGAUCAUUGUAUGGAGGGGUUCUGCCCAACUAGGAUCACCCAGGCUGGAUUGUCAUCACACUUGAUUUCCUAGAAGUCUCGGACAAACUUUGGCAUGCAGACAGCUUUCCACUUCAAGAGUUUGCCCUUCACUUCUGACAUCACUCUCCAGAAUCAUGAGCACAACCCAGAAAUGUGGGUAAGCUGAUGCCCAAGGGGAAAUCUUGAAUGAAUGGGGAAUAGGAGUUGGUGCGCAAAUGCCCCAGCCUUCCCAUCCUCCAGGGAAGCUGACUCAGAGGUGUGAUCCACAUGUUGUUUCACCUGGCUCCACACAGCAUUGAAUGUUAAUUGCCUUCAGCAUAACCAGCUCAUUAACACACAUUUAUUACCUUUCCUCCCCUCUAUCACUCUCCUUGUUCCCUUACUUGCAGUUCUUGAGACCACCUUGCAAAUAAAUGACCUAUACCCAAUCUUCAUCUCAGCAUCUGUUUUGAGGGAAUUCAAACUAAGACAGGAGCCCAGAGAAGCUAAAGGAUUUCUGUUCCUUUUCCCUGGGGAGGCUACUCUUCCCACUAAAUGAACUUCUUUUCUGAAGAUCCACUGAACUGGCAGAGUCCAUUCAAUGAGACAUCUUGAGCCUCAGCCCCUGAAGCUCCACGCCAAGGCUCUCAACAUGAUUCUAUUCCAUGUGCAUUCAUUCUGUUGAAUAAACCACAGUUCAGCUUUGUUCAGUAA